UACUUAAUACAAAAUACAAUGGUUAUAC
rnacentral:sRNA from 1 species